rnacentral:rRNA from 1 species
GGACGAACGCUGGCGGCGUGCUUAACACAUGCAAGCUGAACGGUGCAUUAUUGAGUAGUAAUACGAGAUGAUGUAGAGUAGCGGACGGGUGAGUAAAAGACGAGAAGCUGUCUAUCAGAGGGGGAUAACGUUUAGAAAUGGACGCUAAUACCGCAUACGCCUACGGGUGAAAGUGAAAACGCUGAUGGAGGUGCUCGUAACCUAUCAGGUAGUUGGUGGGGUAAAGGCCUACCAAGCCGAUGACGGGUAGCCGGCCUGAGAGGGUGAACGGCCACACUGGAACUGAGACACGGUCCAGACUCCUACGGGAGGCAGCAGUGGGGAAUAUUGGGCAAUGGAUGCAAGUCUGACCCAGCGACGCCGCGUGAAUGAAGAAGGUCUUCGGAUUGUAAAGUUCUUUUAUACGGGAAGAGGAGAAGACGGUACCGUAUGAAUAAGUCCCGGCUAACUACGUGCCAGCAGCCGCGGUAAUACGUAGGGGACGAGCGUUGUCCGGAAUUACUGGGCGUAAAGGGCAUGUAGGCUGUUUAUCAAGUCAGUAGUAAAAUGGUAAGGCUUAACCUUAGCAAGCUAUUGAGACUGAUAGACUUGAGUACUGAAGAGGCAAGAGGAAUUCCCAGUGUAGCGGUGAAAUGCGUAGAUAUUGGGAAGAACACCGGUGGCGAAGGCGACUUUCUGGUCAGUAACUGACGCUGAUGUGCGAAAGCCAGGGGAGCGAACGGGAUUAGAUACCCCGGUAGUCCUGGCUGUAAACGAUGAAUGCUAGGUGUGUGAGUAGAGAUACUGACGUGCCGCAGUUAACGCGAUAAGCAUUCCGCCUGGGGACUACGGCCGCAAGGUUGAAACUCAAAGGAAUUGACGGGGGCCCGCACAAGCGGUGGAGCACGUGGUUUAAUUCGAUGCAAA